UACAAACGGCCCAUUAGAUGUACAAGCCCCUUCACGGCGCCGCUAUUGUAAGAGAUAAAAGCCACGCGCUAUUUAGGGUUUUCGAGUCAUUCCCUCUGUAUAAAUAAGCGGCGGACGCCUCAAAUCAGCACCCGAGCAGCCCAGCCGUCGUUUCAUGAGUAGGGUUAUUGUCAAAGGCGGAUUCCCAACCAAUCCCAUAAACAAAUCGAAUCAAUCUAACAGGAUUACCUGUCAAAAUUCUAUUUUUUGUUGGGAGCUUAUUUGAGAUUGUUUGCGCAACCGUUGCCAAUUGAUUCCGAGCGACACUGGUUGAUGGACUCGUAAUCAAAUGUAUAAAGGGAAAAUAGUGUGCUGCCUUUAAAAUCCAAUGUACAAGAGAAAUUCCCAAGUCAAGCAACCGUGAAACCUGUCAUAUGUUGCCAGUUGCCGGAUAUAAUCUUUCCAGUUCAAGGAGGAAUCGUUUACUGCUCUUGGAAAAUAUUGUUUUUAAAUUUUUGACAGCCUAGUUACCCUGGGCUUUUGAAUCUCUGAGUAAUUACUUGACAUUCUUAAGAAGCUUAUAAAGCUUUGACUUCUUUAUUGCUA